AAGGUCGAAGGACUAGACUGAGGCAAAGAUGGCAGAACUGGCAGAAGUAGGCUUCAGAAGGUGGGUAAUAAGGAACUUCACUGAGCUAAAGGAGCAUGUUGUAAUCCAAAGCAAAGAAGCUAAGCAUCAUGAUAAAACAAUACAGGAGAUGAUAACCAGAAUAGGCAGAAUAGAGAGGAGAAUAACCAACUUGAUGGAAUUGAAAAACACAAAAUAAGAACAUCAAAGGUGAUCACGAGUAUCAAUAGCAGAAUAGGCCAAGUGGAGGAAUCUCAGAGCCUGAAGACUAUCUUUCUGAAAUAAAACAGGCAGACAAUAAUAGGGAAUAAAGAAUGAAAAGAAAUAAACAAAACCUCAGAGAAAUUUGGGAUUAUGUUUAAAAAAAAAAUGAAACUGUGACUGAUUGGGGCACCUGAAAAGGACAGGAAGACCAGAACCAAGUUGAAAAACAUGCUUAAGGAUAUCAUCCAGGAGACCUUCCUCAACCUAUCAAGACAGACCGACAUAAAUUCAGGAAAUCCAGAGAAUCCCAGUAAGAUAUUCUGCAAGAAGAUGAACCCUAAGACACAUAAUCAUCAGAUUCUCCAAGGUGGAAAUAAAAGAAAAAAUGGUAGGAUCAGCCAGAGGGAAAGGCCAGGUAACCUACAAAGGGAAGCCUAUUAGACUAACAGUGGACAUCUUAGAAGAAACCCUACAAGCCAGAAGAGAUUGGCAGCCAAUAUUCAGCAUUCUUAAGAAAAGAAUUUCUAACCAAGAAAUUCAUAUCUGGUCAAACUAAGCUUCGUAAGAGAAGGAGAAAUAAGAUUCUUUUAAGAUAAGCAAAUGCUGAGGGAAUUCACCAUCACCAUCCCUGCCUUGCAAGAGCUACUGAAGGGAUAUGGAAACAAAACCCAUUAUCAGCAACUACAAGAACACACUGAAGUUCACAGAGCAGUGACACUAUGCAGCAGCCAAAUAAACCAGUCUGCACAAUAAGCAGCUAGCAUCAUGAUGGCAGGAUCAAAAUUACACAUAACAAUACUAACCUUAAAUGUAAAUGGGCUAAAUGCCCCAAUUAAAAGACAAAAUGGCAAGCUGGAUAAAGAGCCAAGACUUAUCAGUAUGCUCUCUUCAAGAGACCCAUCUCACAUGUAAAGACCCACAUAGGCUCAAAAUAAAAAGAUUGAGGAAAACUUACAAAGCAAAUGGAAAACAGAAAAAAGCAGGCAUCUUAAUCCUAGUUUCUGACAGAAUAUACUUUAGACCAAAAAAAAAAAAAAAAAAAAAAAAAGACAAAGCAGAGCAUUACAUAACGGUGAAGUGUUCAGUUUAACAGGAAGAGCUAACUAUUCUAAAUAUAUAUGCACCCAAUACAGAAGCACUCCUGUUUAUAAAGCAAGUUCCUAGAGACCUACAAAGAGACUUAGACUUCCAUACAAUAAUAUUGGGAGACUUUAACACCCCACUGACAAUAUUAGACAGAUCAUAAAGACAGAAAAUUAACAAAGAUAUUCAGGACCUGAACUGAGUUCUGGAUCAAGCGGACCUGAUAGAUAUCUACAGAAUUUUCCAUUCAAAAACAACAGAAUAUAUAUUCUUCACAUUGCCACAUGGCAUUUCCUCUAAAAUUGAUCUCACAAUCAAAAGUAAAACACUCCUCAGAAAAUGCAAAAGAACUGAAAUCAUAAAAAAACAGUCUCCCGGACCACAGGAUAAUCAAAUUAGAACUCAAGAUUAAAAAAUUCACUCACAACCACACAACUACAUGGAAUUUGAACAACCUGCUCCUGAAUGACUCCUGGGUAAAUAAUGAAAAUCAGAAUCGACAAGGGGGAUAUCACAACUAACCCACCAGAAAUACAAACAACCAUAAGAGAAUACUAUAAAUGCCUCUAUGCACAUGAACUAGAAAAUCUAGAAGAAAUGGAUAAAUUCCUGGACACAUACACCCUACCAAGACUAAAACAAGAAGACAUUGAAUCUCUGAAUAGACCAAUAAUGAGUUCUGAAAUUAAUUAAGGCAGUAAUAAAUAGCCUAACAACCAGAAAAAGUCCAGGACCAGAAGGAUUUAUGGCUGAAUUCUACCAGAGUUACAAAGAAGAGCUGGUACUAUUUCUACUGAAAGGAUUCCAAACAAUUGAAAAGGAAGGACUCCA
rnacentral:lncRNA from 10 species